rnacentral:lncRNA from 1 species
CGGGUUUUUUGCAAAAACCACCCUUGUGUAAUCUCGAAUUGCUGAAAAACACCUUGUGUUAACAAAAUUAGCAAAUAGCCCCCUAUGAAAAUUAGUCAAAGGCAAUAAGGCCCCUGCUAGCCGAACGUGUGUAGCACGCGCGAAAUGUGCGAGUGGGUGUCUAUUUUUUGACGUGAAAAGACUCAAAUACCCUUUAAAUUAGAAAUUUAAAAAAUUAUAAAUUCACCCCAUAAUUUUAAUCAGGCCCAAAAUGA